GAUGAACGCUGGCGGCGUGCUUAACACAUGCAAGUCGAGCGAAGCGCUUUGGAAAGAUUCUUCGGAUGAUUUCCUUUGUGACUGAGCGGCGGACGGGUGAGUAACGCGUGGGUAACCUGCCUCAUACAGGGGGAUAACAGUUAGAAAUGACUGCUAAUACCGCAUAAGACCACGGUACCGCAUGGUACAGUGGUAAAAACUCCGGUGGUAUGAGAUGGACCCGCGUCUGAUUAGGUAGUUGGUGGGGUAACGGCCUACCAAGCCGACGAUCAGUAGCCGACCUGAGAGGGUGACCGGCCACAUUGGGACUGAGACACGGCCCAGACUCCUACGGGAGGCAGCAGUGGGGAAUAUUGCACAAUGGAGGAAACUCUGAUGCAGCGACGCCGCGUGAAGGAUGAAGUAUUUCGGUAUGUAAACUUCUAUCAGCAGGGAAGAAAAUGACGGUACCUGACUAAGAAGCCCCGGCUAACUACGUGCCAGCCGCCGCGGUAAGAC
rnacentral:rRNA from 1 species